rnacentral:rRNA from 1 species
GAUGAACGCUGGCGGCGUGCCUAAUACAUGCAAGUCGAGCGAACAGACGAGGAGCUUGCUCCUCUGACGUUAGCGGCGGACGGGUGAGUAACACGUGGAUAACCUACCUAUAAGACUGGGAUAACUUCGGGAAACCGGAGCUAAUACCGGAUAAUAUAUUGAACCGCAUGGUUCAAUAGUGAAAGACGGCUUUGCUGUCACUUAUAGAUGGAUCCGCGCCGCAUUAGCUAGUUGGUAAGGUAACGGCUUACCAAGGCAACGAUGCGUAGCCGACCUGAGAGGGUGAUCGGCCACACUGGAACUGAGACACGGUCCAGACUCCUACGGGAGGCAGCAGUAGGGAAUCUUCCGCAAUGGGCGCAAGCUUGACGGAGCAACGCCGCGUGAGUGAUGAAGGUCUUCGGAUCGUAAAACUCUGUUAUUAGGGAAGAACAAAUGUGUAAGUAACUAUGCACGUCUUGACGGUACCUAAUCAGAAAGCCACGGCUAACUACGUG